AGAGUUUGAUCCUGGCUCAGAACGAACGCUGGCGGCAUGCCUAACACAUGCAAGUCGAACGAGAUCUUCGGGUCUAGUGGCGCACGGGUGCGUAACGCGUGGGAAUCUGCCCUUGGGUUCGGGAUAACCGUUGGAAACGACGGCUAAUACCGGAUGAUGACGUAAGUCCAAAGAUUUAUCGCCCAGGGAUGAGCCCGCGUAGGAUUAGCUAGUUGGUGGGGUAAAGGCCUACCAAGGCGACGAUCCUUAGCUGGUCUGAGAGGAUGAUCAGCCACACUGGGACUGAGACACGGCCCAGACUCCUACGGGAGGCAGCAGUGGGGAAUAUUGGACAAUGGGCGAAAGCCUGAUCCAGCAAUGCCGCGUGAGUGAUGAAGGCCUUAGGGUUGUAAAGCUCUUUUACCCGGGAUGAUAAUGACA
rnacentral:rRNA from 1 species